rnacentral:lncRNA from 10 species
AGAUGAAAAUAAAGAUGACAGCUCCAGUGACAAGCUACGUGGAGCCUGGUUCAGGUCCUUUUAGAGAGGGAAAAAGGGGCAAUGUGCAAGUGAAAAUCGAGUCUGGAAAAGGGGCUUCUACAGGGGUGUUGGUGUAGUUCUCUGAUCAGCAGCACCGGCAUGGAUGUGGGAGCUCGGAGGAAAUACACUCUCAGGCCCCACCCCAGACCUGAAUCUGCAUCGUAGCAAAAUCCCCAGGUCUUUCGAUGGAUUUUCUAGUGCCCAAAAGAAUCAAGAACAACUUUUGACAUUAGCAAGCAUUUUAAGGGAAGAUGGAAAAGUUUUCGAUGAGAAGGUUUACUACACUGCAGGCUACAACAGUCCUGUCAAAUUGCUUAAUAGAAAUAAUGAAGUGUGGUUGAUUCAAAAAAAUGAACCCACCAAAGAAAACGAAUGAGAAAAAUGAAAGGAAGUUCUGCUGUCAGAGGCAAAACAUCUGUUUAUCAUAGACAUCAACAUGACCUAUAAGUAAA